CAUCCUUGAUCGGGAGGUCCGGGUAAUCUUUUGAAACUUCAUCGUGCUGGGGAUAGUCCCUUGCAAUUUUUGGACUUAAACGAGGAAUUCCUAGUAAGCGUGAGUCAUCAACUCGCGUUGAUUACGUCCCUGCCCUUUGUACACACCGCCCGUCGCUACUACCGAUUGAAUGGCUUAGUGAAUCCUUCGGAUUGGCUAUUUUUUUCUGGCAACAGAAUUAAACUGCUAAAAAGUUGGGCAAACUUGGUCAUUUAGAGGAAGUAAAAGUCGUAACAAGGUUUCCGUAGGUGAACCUGCGGAAGGAUCAUUAAAAAAUAAUCACAGUUUUGUGAUUUUAAUAAUCAUCCUACCCUUUGUGAAUUUGUUUUGUAAAGAAAAUUUAUGUUGUCUAUCCCUGGUGGUUUUUUGGAAAAGUUGAAAAACUUUUUCGAAUCCUCAGGGACUAGGCUUUCAUAGACCUUUUUUUUAAAUUAAACUUUUUGUAUUCAUUUGUCUAAAAUUUAUUUUUAAUAAUUUAAAAACAACUUUUGACAAUGGAUCUCUUGGUUCUCGCAACGAUGAAGAACGCAGCAAAAUGCGAUAAGUAAUGUGAAUUGCAGAAUACGUGAAUCAUCAAAUCUUCGAACGCAUAUUGCAC
rnacentral:rRNA from 1 species